AUGUUUGUUAGGCAUAAAGAGAAAGAUAAUUUUCAUGUGAGGCUGCAAGUUGAUGUGCUUGAGCAGGCAUUUGGACCUAGGAUGGCGGGUGCAACAUCUCGGGGAGAAUCAAGUCGUCGUAAUGGCAUCUCUAGCCAGAACAGUUCAGUUGGUGCACGGCGACGUGGUGGCUCGACAAGUGUGGGCAACAGCAGUAGGGUCCCCCUUGAAGUGGAGCCUGAUGGCUACAAUUCUGGGGUUGAUGAAGAGAAGUUAUAUUCUGAUGUUAUUCAUAAUUUACGACGGGCACCUCGGGCUGAAAACCAAGAUGAGGCUCACAAUGCAGUCCGUGUGGAUGAUGACGCGAUGGGUGAGGACGAAGACCUUGCAGCUGUUGAAUGGGACCCUUUGAACCCUCAAAUGGAAGAAGGUACAGUUUUUGCAUCCAUGAAUGAGUGUAGAAAUGCACUUGUGACAUACUGCAUCAAGGUAGAACGUACUUUCAAAGUUGACAAGAGCGAUCAAGUACGUUACAGAGUGCACUGUCCGACUGAGGGUUGUCCAUGGAGGCUGCUUGCAGCUAAAAUGCGGAAUAGCACUAAUGUUCAGGUCAAAGUGAAUCCUUUUAAGCACACAUGCCAGGAAUCAACCCUUAGGAAGGAUGCAAUCAGUAGAGCCAAGUCAAGAUGGGUGGCAGAAGAAGUAAAAAAGUGGGUGAAAGAAAACCAACAAGUGGGUCCAAAGGAAUUGCAGAAGAACAUCAAAGAUAAAUUCAAGAUAGAUUUACCAUACAUGAGGUUGUUCAAUGGUAAACAACAUGCUAUGGAUUCUAUUUAUGGUAACUGGCAGGAAAGUUUUUAA
rnacentral:rRNA from 1 species